rnacentral:rRNA from 1 species
CCUACGGGAGGCUGCAGUGGGGGAUAUUGCACAAUGGGGGAAACCCUGAUGCAGCGACGCCGCGUGUGGGAAGACGGUCCUCUGGAUUGUAAACCACUGUCCCCAGGGACGAAGAUGACGGUACCUGGGGAGGAAGCUCCGGCUAACUACGUGCCAGCAGCCGCGGUAAUACGUAGGGAGCGAGCGUUGUCCGGAAUUACUGGGUGAAAAGGGAGCGUGGGCGGGACUGCAAUUUGGGUGUCAAAUCUACCGGCUCAACCGGUGGCCGCACUCAAAACUGCAGUUCUUGAGUGAAGUAGAGGCAGGCGGAAUUCCUAGUGUAGCGGUGAAAUGCGUAGAUAUUAGGAGGAACACCAGUGGCGAAGGCGGCCUGCUGGGCUUUUACUGACGCUGAGGCUCGAAAGUGUGGGGAGCAAACAGGAUUAGAUACCCGAGUAGUC